UCCCUGGUGGAUCAGAUGGUAAAGCAUCUGCCUACAAUGCAGGAGACCCAGGUUCGAUCCCUGGGUUGGGAA
rnacentral:tRNA from 1 species